rnacentral:rRNA from 1 species
AUGUCUAGGGGCUCUGAGAGGAGAAUCCCCCACACUGGUACUGAGACACGGACCAGACUCCUACGGGAGGCAGCAGUCCGGAAUAUUGGUCAAUGGGCGGAAGCCUGAACCAGCCAUGCCGCGUGCAGGAUGACUGCCCUAUGGGUUGUAAACUGCUUUUGUCCAGGAAUAAACCUAGAUACGUGUAUCUAGCUGAAUGUACUGGAAGAAUAAGGAUCGGCUAACUCCGUGCCAGCAGCCGCGGUAAUACGGAGGAUCCGAGCGUUAUCCGGAUUUAUUGGGUUUAAAGGGUGCGUAGGCGGCCUAUUAAGUCAGGGGUGAAAUACGGUGGCUCAACCAUCGCAGUGCCUUUGAUACUGAUGGGCUUGAAUCCAUUUGAAGUGGGCGGAAUAAGACAAGUAGCGGUGAAAUGCAUAGAUAUGUCUUAGAACUCCGAUUGCGAAGGCAGCUCACUAAGCUGGUAUUGACGCUGAUGCACGAAAGCGUGGGGAUCGAA